rnacentral:lncRNA from 1 species
AUUGUGCGAUGAUAAAUGGUAUCAAAACACCCUGGGUUGAUUAUGACUGUCAUUACAAAGCUUUUUAUAUUUGUGAAAGCAAUUUCUGUAAGUAAUAACUCAAUUGAGUUUCGGUACUCCAGUUGUAUCCAAUGAUCAGUUAUACACCUUAUUUUUGGGUAUUCACCCGUUCUUCUUCAUGGGAGGAAAAACUUUUUAGUUAUUUUAAUCGUCUUUCAAGCCUGAUUAAUACAGCCGUUAUUUUAAGAUAUCUUAUAUGAAAAUAUUUGCAAAUGCAUAUAUCUAUUUUGUGUUAUAUUUUACGGUCUAUUUUUUACAGCUUUGUUACUUCAUCUUUAUGAUUUAAUUCCCCUGCGCGUGUUGAAAAGGCGGAAAUUGGCAUAAAAGACACCAUUGGCGGCUUUAGAACAUAGAUAGACCAUGCCUAUAUAUUGCCCUAUUUAGUAAACUCUUGUGUUUUUAUUUCUUUAUUUAUACGCCAUUUAAAAUACGAGGAAUCUGAUAAAUGUUUAGACAUAUGCUUCGCAUUAUUAAACAGUGUAGGUGGAUAGCCAUAUUAUUAUUUCAAAUUGAGCCAGAGAUUACAUUACACAAAAAAUUAUGUUUUUCAUCUUUAAAUUUAUAUGAAAAGUAAAUUUCAAAUGUGUCAUACAUGUGCGCUAAUUGGUCAUUGUUGUUUCCAUUUUCAGGUUUUUAAAUUAUACAUAAAAGACACACUAUAGAAGAGAAGAUGACAUUGAAGGUCUUUGUUUAUCAAUGGCGAAUAAAAUAAAAAAUAAUUUAGAAAUCUUAUCUCUGUACUUUUAAUGGAAAUAUGAAAAGUACGUACAUAGCAAUAUAUCAAUCACAAUCAGCACUUAUACAAAAUACCUGUACACAAGCCGAUAAGACAAGGGUAAAUGCAUUCACUUUAAGUUUUUAUAUUUUGUUUCCUUCAUGUACGCAUUUAUGACGUAAUGAAUUUUAAACCUGAUGCCUUUCGUUAUCUAUUAUUCAUGUGUUUCUCUGCCAA